rnacentral:rRNA from 1 species
GAUGAACGCUGGCGGCGUGCCUAAUACAUGCAAGUCGAGCGAACAGACGAGGAGCUUGCUCCUCUGACGUUAGCGGCGGACGGGUGAGUAACACGUGGAUAACCUACCUAUAAGACUGGGAUAACUUCGGGAAACCGGAGAUAAUACCGGAUAAUAUAUUGAACCGCAUGGUUCAAUAGUGAAAGACGGUUUUGCUGUCACUUAUAGAUGGAUCCGCGCCGCAUUAGCUAGUUGGUAAGGUAACGGCCUACCAAGGCAACGAUGCGUAGCCGACCUGAGAGGGUGAUCGGCCACACUGGAACUGAGACACGGUCCAGACUCCUACGGGAGGCAGCAGUAGGGAAUCUUCCGCAAUGGGCGAAAGCCUGACGCAGCAACGCCGCGUGAGUGAUGAAGGUCUUCGGAUCGUAAAACUCUGUUAUUAGGGAAGAACAAAUGUGUAAGUAACUAUGCCCGUCUUGACGGUACCUAAUCAGAAAGCCCCGGCUAACUACGUG